rnacentral:rRNA from 1 species
UAAUGAUCUUUCCGUAGGUGAACCUGCGGAAGGAUCAUUA